rnacentral:rRNA from 14 species
GAACCUUAUGGCGAAGAACCUCCGGACGCAGCAAAACGUGAAGUGUACGAGGAAUUGCAUGUGACGUGCAAUUCAUGGACGCCUCUUGGAAGGUAUCGCAC